rnacentral:rRNA from 1 species
GACGAACGCUGGCGGCGUGCUUAAAAACAUGCAAGUCGAACGGACUUCUCAUGAAGCUUGCGAUUGAGAAGUUAGUGGCGGACGGGUGAGUAACGCGUGGGCAACCGUGCCCCUGAGCCCGGGAUAACAGUUCGAAAGGACUGCUAAGACCGGAUAUACUUGCGGUGAAGCAUUUCACUGCAAGGAAAGGGAACGCUCAGGGAUGGGCCCGCGUCCCAUUAGCUAGUUGGUGAGGUAACGGCCCACCAAGGCGACGAUGGGUAGCCGGCCUGAGAGGGUGAACGGCCACACUGGGACUGAGACACGGGCCCAGACUCCUACGGGAGGCAGCAGUUGGGAAUCUUCGGCAAUGGGCGCAAGCCUGACCGAGCAACGCCGCGUGAGUGAUGAAGGUUUUCGGAUUGUAAAGCUCUGUCUUCCGGGACGAUAAUGACGGUACCGGAGGAGGAAGCCACGGCUAACUACGUG